GACGAACGCUGGCGGCGUGCUUAACACAUGCAAGUCGAACGGAAAGGCCUUUUCGGAGGUACUCGAGUGGCGAACGGGUGAGUAACACUUGGGUGAUCUGCCCUGCACUCUGGGAUAAGCCUGGGAAACUGGGUCUAAUACCGGAUAGGACCGCACUUUUGUGUGUGUGGGGGAAAGUUUUUUCGGUGUAGGAUGAGCCCGCGGCCUAUCAGCUUGUUGGUGGGGUAAUGGCCUACCAAGUCGGCGACGUGUAGCCGGACUGAGGGGUUGGUCGGCCACAUUGGGACUGAGAUACGGCCCAGGCUGCUACGGGAGGCAGAAGUGGGGAAUAUUGAACAAUGGGCGCAAGCCUGAUGCAGCGACGCCGCGUGGGGGAUGACGGCCUUCGGGUUGUAAAAUCCUUUCGUCAGGGACGAAGCGUUUUGUGACGGUACCUGGAGAAGAAGCACCGGCUAACUACGUG
rnacentral:rRNA from 1 species